rnacentral:lncRNA from 1 species
AUUUGAAAUGAUAAUGAAUGAAUGAAUAUGUGUUUAAAAGAGUCUUGUAUUCAUUUGAAAAAAAAUCUAAGAUGAUGGUGGAGACAAAAUGAAGAAAUGGUAGAGACCUAAAAGAGAUGAUUUGGAAGGAUAUAUGAUGUGACCAAAUAGAGAAUAUGAUGGGGCAAAUUUUGAAAAGUGGUAUAACCAAGUGAUGAGUACAAUGAUGAAUUGGUCGAUAUGAUUUGCAAGUUAUGAUUGAAUGAUGAGAACAAUCAGU